GUUACCCAGACUGGUCUCAAACUCCUGGCCACCGGUGAUCCUCCUGCCCCAGCCUCCCAAAGCUCUGGGAUUACAGGUAUGAGCCCACUGUGCCCAGCGGCACCCCCUCCACCUUUUUCUUUAAAAAAAUAAAUAGUGGCAAGCUCUUGCUAUGCUGCCAAGACUAAUCUCAAACUCUUGGGCUUAAUUGAUCUUCCCACCUUGGACUCCCAAAAUGCUGGGAUUACAGGACAACACCCAGUCAGGUAUAGCCUUUGUCUGCAUGAUCCAAGCUAGAUUGUGGGUACACUCAUGUUCUAGGUCUCAAGAAGAAUAAAAAAUAUGGAUGAGGCACCUUUCUUUUUUCUUUUUUUUCUUUUUCUUUUCUUUUUUUUUUUCAGACAGAACCUCACUCUGUCACCCAGGCUGGAGUGCAGUGCCACGAUCUCGGCUCACUGCAACCUCCGCUUCCCGGGUUCACGCCAUUCUCCUGCCUCAGCCUCCUGAGUAGCUGGGACUACAGGUACCCGCCACCACACCUGGCUAAUUUUUUGUAUUUUUAAUAGAGAUGGGGUUUCACCGUGUUAGCCAGCAUGGUCUUGAUCUCCUGAUCUCAUGAUCCGCCAGCCUCGGCCUCAAAGUUCUGGGAUUACAGGCGUGAGCCAACGUGCCCAGCCGAGGCACCUUUCUUAAGGUCCCAGCCCAUAGGUGGUCCACAUCACUUCUGCCUACAUUCCAUGAUCAGGAGCUUAGUCACAUGAUCAGCCCUAACUGUAAGGUGGCUGGGAAAUAUAUAUAUAUGUAUGUGUCUACAUAUAUGUGUGUAUAUAUAUGUGUGUGUGUGUGUGUGUGUGUGUGUGUGUAUGCAGCCAUAGGCCGAGUAGUUCAAUUAUUGUAGAAGAAGGAAAGAAUAGGUUUUUGGAUAGUGUCAUUACAUCAACCUAGAUGUGACCCAGAUACCACCAAGUAGAGGCUCUUCAGUUAUUAUGAGCAAUUAGGUCAGAGUUUUUGUUAAAGUGGAAACAGGGAAAGUAUGAUCCAUAGAGGACAUAAGGACAUAGGAUCCCUUCGAGUAAUGGAACAUGUCCCAGGGGCUUGAAAAGAGACUGUUUUGUUUGUCCUUCCAGACAGGGGAGUUCAGGGGCAUUCAGCAGCAGACAAGGGUGAUGGAUACCCAGAACAUUGCUUAUGAAAUGAUUUAUAUUUUUAAUAAUACUUUAUAGUUUACAAGGAUCAUUUGUACAUAUUGUUUGAUUGGAUGUUGAAAACAUUCCUCAUUAGGGACAGCUAGACGUAGAGAGAUGAAAGGUCUUGCACAAAAUCACACAAUUCAUAAAUAGCAAAGGUGAGAUCUGAACCCAAGUCUUCCUAGUUUCAGUCCAGUGCUUUUUACCAAAUAAAAAUGCUACAUAUUGAUUUUUUUUUUUUAUCCUGGGAGGGUGACUAGUUGGACAUCUCAAAUGGAGUAAGGACUUUACUUUUUCACUGGACUUUACUUUUUCAGUUUCCAUGUAAUUUGGAUGUCAUUGUGAAGACGUCAAGAGUCAUGUCCACAAAGAUAAUACUGGUUAUUACUUGGUGACCACCUACUGUAAGCCAGGCCCUGAGCUGGACACUUUAUUUAUAUCUUAUUUAUUCCUCCUAAUGAUCCAGCAAGGUAGGCAUUAUUACACCUAUCUUGCAGAGGAGGAAGCUGAAGAGGUUAGGUAACUUUUCCCAAACAGAGAGCUAGUAAGUGGGUAAGCCAGGUCAUGAAUCCAAGUUAAUCUGCUAUCUUCCCUCUCAGUGCUGCCUUGAAGGACGAGGGGUAUCUGCUGCUCAGGCCUCAGGAAUGGACACAUAGGCUUCAGGCCCAUGAGGACCUCCUGGACUAAGAGCCAGUCUCACUGCCACCUGUCAGAGCCUUCUUCAAGGGAGUAAACAGAGGGGCAGGACUCACCUCACUUCGUGCUGCCAGGGCUAGAGCUAUCCUUUCUCCCCACUCCAUUCCCACCUUGCUGGGUGAGCCUGCAGUUUUUCCAAGGCAGGGCCAGCCUGUCCUGUGCUGCAAGAUGUAUUAAUCAAUUUGAUGGGGAUGUUAAAGCUUUCUCUUUGCAACUAAUUAUGGCCUGAUUUAUAGGCCUGGCCUUGGUUUGAUAGAGCUCUCCUCAUGACAGGGAUGAAUGUGGUACUGGCAUGGACCCCUUCAUCUCUUCCAUUUCUCUCUCUUCCUCCCUCCUCCCUCCCUCCCACGGCUCCUGCCUCCUGCCUCUGCUCUUGGUUCCCACAGGAACACCCUAAUGACAUGUUGACAAGCUAGUGAAGCAUGGCUCCCUCUCUGUUGCAUCUGCCUCUGGCACCACCAUUCCUCCUGUAUUCUCUGACAUGGGCAGAUGGGUGCUGUGCUGGAGGAAGCUCUGUACACCCUUUCCUUCUGGAAACAAGAAACAAUAAAAAUAUUUUGGGUUGAUGCAGCAUCUUCCUUCCCAAACAUUCCAAGAGCUUGUUGAAAUAAACUUUAUCCCUGAUGGAACUUCCAGCCACAUCCUGCUCCUCCCUCACAUGGAAACAGGCAGCACCUAGGCCAUCAUCUGCUCAGACUUUCCUUCAGAGGAAAAGAGAAACCACAAACAGCUGCCGUGUGGGCCCUCCUGCCAGAUUCCGGAUUCCAGCUCAGACCACGGAUCUCGAUGACUUCAUUGGUAUCUGAGCUGGAACUCUCUUCUCCAGGGACAGAGAGGCCGCCAGCAUCCCUGCAGAGCCCCCAGAAAAAGAGGAAGCUGCAUGGUGGGUUCACACCUGGGCCAGUACAAAAAGGUCAUGCUUGGAGAGAUACACCAAGAUCUCCACCUGAGGGCUGAGUCCUGGCCCAGGGCUUGCUUCACUAGUUGGCAGCCUGGGAACACUUGCUGUGAGCUCCAAAGCAUGUUGAAGAGCGGGGCUGUCCAUGUUGAAUCCUGUUAGUCAUGCAGCUGAGGGAAUUCCAAUCACCUGACCCGGGUCUGACCGCAGUUACCAGUCUCAAGUCUGAGCAGCGUCUCCAGUGCUGGGCUGCCUUCUUGACUCCAGGAGGCAUGCCUGCUCUUACAAUGAAACUCAAGUCUUUUUUUUUCCUUCCCACAAGUUUGGCUUCUACUUUUCUAAGUGCUGUUCAUCAUAUACUCUGUGUUGUAAGUACUCAGCUCUCUAGCAUCUCUUUAUACUACCUUUUAUUCUUCUGGAAUAUCCUUCCUUCCCACCCACAAGCAUAUUAGGCAAAACUUGCCCACCGUGGUAACUGGAAACAGGACUGAGGGGAAGGAAAACUCUCUCCCAGGUGCAUGGAGUGGGAACUCAUUUAGGGCAUCUUUAGUGCCAUACAUAGAACCUGGAAUACAAUAGGAGCUCAAUUAAUACAUGUUAAAUGGAUAAAUAUUGGUUAAAUGCAUCAUGUUUCUAUACAAUUCUCUUUAAACUAUAAACUCCCCAAGCACAAAGUUAAGAACUAUGUCUCUCUUAUCAGACAAGAUGCCUCCUAACCCAGAUUAUACAGGAGCAUUGUGAGGGCAAGCCCAUGCCAACUCCACAUUCUGUGAGCUCCCAAAACUCCACCAAGGACCUUGCUUAAUGAUGACUUAGACCAGGGUUUCUCGACCUCAGCAUUAUUG
rnacentral:lncRNA from 1 species